UCAGGGAAUUGAGUUGUCCCAUUUAUAUUUCUUUCUUUCUUUUUUCUUCAAUCAAAUAAAUCAAAUUAAGAGAAAAUAGGCACAAUUAAGAAACUUACCGAUUAUUUUCCUUAGGCUAUUAUGGGUAGAUUAGAAUAAAGAGGGAAGGAAAAAAGAAGAGAGCAUUAUGCUCAUUUAGUGCCGUCGGCCUAGAGAGAAGGAGAGAGAGAGAGAGUGGGAGAGCUAGAGAGAGAAAGGGAGAGAGAGGCUGCCAUUUUCUAGAGAGAAUGAGGAGAAAGAAAAGAGAAAACAUGAAGGAAGAAGAAGAUGGGGAAGAAGGGCUCGAGGUCUCUAAGGUUCUAAUCUCACAAGAGCAUAGGGAUUGUUGUUAUGGUUUCGGCUAACAAGAGGGUGUUGGAGGCUAGCAAACAAAAGGGUGACCAUAACUAUUUUUGGGUUCCUUGAUUUCUAUCAAAGGAGGUAGCAAAUAUGAUUUCUCUGUGGCACGCGUGGUGAUGUGGGGAGUUCCAAUGUCAGGGUGUGUAUGGCGUGGGGGUAUCCUAUGGACGAGAAAAUGAUCUGUUUAACGUCAAAUUUUCUAAAGAAUAAUGUUAUGUUUAUUUUUAACUUUUCAGAACUUAUUAGUGCGACUUGAACUUUAAUUAUCUUUAAAACACUGCAUGAAAACUAUUAUUUUCCUUUUAAACUAUUGGGCCCAACUUGCAUGUUUUAGCAAGGCCCCAUUGAGAUUUUUCA